AACGAACGCUGGCGGCAGGCUUAACACAUGCAAGUCGAGCGCGCCCUUCGGGGUGAGCGGCGGACGGGUGAGUAACGCGUGGGAACGUGCCCUUUCCUCCGGAAUAGCCCUGGGAAACCGGGAGUAAUGCCGGAUACGGCCCCCUUUCGUGGAGAUUGGGGGCGAAAGAUUUAUCGGGGAAGGAUCGGCCCGCGUUGGAUUAGGUAGUUGGUGGGGUAACGGCCUACCAAGCCGACGAUCCAUAGCUGGUUUGAGAGGAUGAUCAGCCACACUGGGACUGAGACACGGCCCAGACUCCUACGGGAGGCAGCAGUGGGGAAUCUUGGACAAUGGGGGCAACCCUGAUCCAGCCAUGCCGCGUGAUCGAUGAAGGCCUUAGGGUUGUAAAGAUCUUUCAGCUGGGAAGAUAAUGACGGUACCAGCAGAAGAAGCCCCGGCUAACUCCGUGCCAGCAGCCGAGUAAUAC
rnacentral:rRNA from 1 species